GGAAUAACAGUAUGGCUUUACACAUGGAAGGCCAACGAAGAACCUUGCAUGUGAUCGCCCAACCUUUUAGAAACAGUAGUCGCAUAUCCUUUAAAUCACACUCGACCAAUUUAAAAAGAGGAAGGAUGCAUUAGAAAAUAUAUUCUUAAAGAUACAAGAUGAGACGGUCACAAAUAGGAUGCUUUUGGUCAUGUGUCUGCCUUAUCAAUAUUGACUUGUAGCACAACAAAAUCAAGAAGAGUGAAAAGUAGAAGCAGUAGGAGUAAAAGGCUUAACAUGUGAUUUUACUGUUUUAUACAUUAUAAGAAACAGUUUGAAAUACAAAAAUAGAAACACGCCUGCUGGUGGGAUUCUUGUCACUUAUCCAUCUUUCAUCGAUUGCCGGGCGAAGUGGUUAUCAAAUACCCUACAAAAGGUUUCAAUGGUUUAAUGUUUUCGAAGUAGAACCAUAGUUUAAAUGGAAUGUGAAUUACUCUACCAAACUUAACCAAGGCACAGACAUCAUGGCCAAGUUCUUCCCUGAAGUAUAAUAUCAAUUCGAAUAAACACCAUUCAGUCAUCAAUUCGAAUUGAGGAACUAUUUGGGCAACCACAGUUGCAUUACAAUACAGAAUGCCUGUCAUUCCAUUAAUUGGUGUCUUAUAAUAUCUAAUAUCAUUUGUAUUAAAUCUAAGCAGGUUAAUUAAUCAUUCGAUAAGAUUACUUGGCUAACUCACCGGAAAAUUUAAAAAAAAUUCCGAUAUAAUUAUUAAAUCCUUCUUAACCAACAGGCAUACUGUUCAGCAAAUAAAACAAAAACAAGAAUAAAAAACGCAACAAAAAACAAAACAAGAACCAAACAAACCGGAUCCAUCCGUUAAAGAAACUCAACUUCCGAUGAGAUACCACCAGAUUCUACAGCCCCCGCUAUAUACAUUUCCCUUCUUUCACCAACUUAUAUGUUUAAUGGCUCGAAAAGAAUAAAGAAAAAUCUUUAAGCCUUUAA